rnacentral:rRNA from 1 species
UACAGAGGGUGCAAGCGUUAAUCGGAAUUACUGGGCGUCAAGCGUGCGUAGACGGUUGCGUAAGUCAGAUGUGAAAGCCCCGGGCUCAACCUGGGAAUUGCAUUUGAGACUGCGUAGCUAGGGUGCGGAAGAGGGAAGCGGAAUUUCCGGUGUAGCGGUGAAAUGCGUAGAUAUCGGAAGGAACACCAGUGGCGAAAGCGGCUUCCUGGUCCAGCACCGACGUUCAGGCACGAAAGCGUGGGGAGCAAACAGG